AUUAACGCUGGCAGAGUGCAUAACACAUGCAAGUCGAGCGGGAGUGGCGGAUUAUCGCGCUCUAGCGGCAGACGAGUGAGCAACACGUAAGUAACCUGCCCUUAAGAGGUGGAUAACGUGUCGAAAGACACGCUAAUACACCAUAUUAUCCUCAGGCGGCAUCGUCAGAGGAUGAAAGGCCCGCAAGGGUCACUUAAGGAGGGACUUGCGUCCCAUCAGCUAGUUGGCGGGGUAACGGCCCACCAAGGCUAUGACGGGUACCCGGCCUGAAAGGGCGGACGGGCACGAAGGCACUGAGAAACGGGCCUUACUCCUACGGGAGGCAGCAGUGGGGAAUUUUGAACAAUGGGCGAAAGCCUGAUCCAGCAACUCUGCGUGAGGGACGAAGUACUUCGGUAUGUAAACCUCUUUUAUUGGGGAAGAAAUCCCGCAAGGGUCUGACGGUACCCAGUGAAUAAGCCACGGCUAACUACGU
rnacentral:rRNA from 1 species